GGGCCCGCACAAGCGGUGGAGUAUGUGGUUUAAUUCGAUGCAACGCGAAGAACCUUACCAGGGUUUGACAUCCUGCGAAUCUCUUGGAAACGAGAGAGUGCCUUCGGGAACGCAGUGACAGGUGGUGCAUGGCUGUCGUCAGCUCGUGUCGUGAGAUGUUGGGUUAAGUCCCGCAACGAGCGCAACCCACGUCUUUAGUUGCCAGCAUUUAGUUGGGCACUUUAAAGAGACUGCCGGUGAUAAACCGGAGGAAGGUGAGGACGACGUCAAGUCAGCAUGCCCCUUACGCCCUGGGCUACACACGUACUACAAUGGCCGAGACAAAGAGCAGCAAGUUUGCAAAGACAAG
rnacentral:rRNA from 1 species